rnacentral:rRNA from 1 species
AUUCCCUACGGGACGCAGCAGUGAGGAAUAUUGGUCAAUGGGCUAAGGCCUGAACCAGCCAAGUCGCGUGAGGGAAGACGGUCCUAUGGAUUGUAAACCUCUUUAGGCGGGGAGCAAUGCCGGGCACGCGUGCCCGGAGGGAGAGUACCCGCAGAAUAAGCAUCGGCUAACUCCGUGCCAGCAGCCGCGGUAAUACGGAGGAUGCGAGCGUUAUCCGGAUUUAUUGGGUUUAAAGGGUGCGUAGGCGGAUUUUUAAGUCAGCGGUAAAAUGUCCGGGCUCAACCCGGGCCGGCCGUUGAAACUGG